rnacentral:rRNA from 1 species
UACGGAGGGGGCUAGCGUUGUUCGGAAUUACUGGGCGUAAAGCGUACGUAGGCGGCUUUGUAAGUUAGAGGUGAAAGCCCGGGGCUCAACUCCGGAACUGCCUUUAAGACUGCAUCGCUUGAAUCCAGGAGAGGUGAGUGGAAUUCCGAGUGUAGAGGUGAAAUUCGUAGAUAUUCGGAAGAACACCAGUGGCGAAGGCGGCUCACUGGACUGGUAUUGACGCUGAGGUGCGAAAGCGUGGGGAGCAAACAGG